GCUUAUGGCCAUAUCAUGUUGAAAGCACCGGUUCUGGUCCAAUUACGGGAGUUAAGCAAUGUCAAGCCUAGUGAAUACUUAGAUGGGUGAUUAUUUGGGAAACCUGGGUGCUGUAAGCA
rnacentral:rRNA from 1 species